AACCAAAAGUGCUGUGAGUCCAAAAGACCAUAUUUUCAGAACCAAAUAUUAGAACCUGAGGUCCAUCAAAGAUCUGCACAUGAAAAACGAGUUCCACUGGCAGACAACACAGUCAAGCCGUCCGGGCUGGGCGCACACGUUCGCCCUGUCGCUUGCUGGAGUGGGGCCACCACCGCAGGCCGUGGCCUUCCUCUUGAUUUCUUUGUCCUGCCGUCUCAGGGCAGGUCGCCCAGGGGAGGAAGCUGCACCCUAGUCAGCCGCAGCAGCUGGCCCCAGCGCCCCUGGGGGCCCGGCCACCUCGGAGGCCUCGACGGCUGCCCGGAGCCAGCAUGCGCCCCACCACGGGCGCCCCCUGGACACGGCCAGGGCAGGAGCUCCAGCGACUCCGGAGAGACCCAUUCAGACACCAGCUGA
rnacentral:lncRNA from 1 species